rnacentral:rRNA from 1 species
GACGAACGCUGGCGGCGCGCUUAACACAUGCAAGUCGAACGGAAAGGCCUACUUUCCCUUGUGGAUUGCGGGUACUCGAGUGGCGAACGGGUGAGUAACACGUGAGUGAUCUGCCCCCAACUUGGGUAUAAGCCUGGGAAACUGGGUCUAAUUCCCGAUAGGACUGCAGGGUGGUGCCUGUGGUGGAAAACGAUUUUCUAGUGGUUGGGGAUGAGCUCGCGGCCUAUCAGCUUGUUGGUGGGGUAAUGGCCUACCAAGGCGGCGACGGGUAGCCGGCCUGAGAGGGUGGACGGCCACAUUGGGACUGAGAUACGGCCCAGACUCCUACGGGAGGCAGCAGUGGGGAAUAUUGCACAAUGGGCGGAAGCCUGAUGCAGCGGCGCCGCGUGGGGGAUGACGGCCUUCGGGUUGUAAACUCCUUUCGACCGCGAGGAAGCCACCUGGUUGGAAGGGUGGUGACGGUAGUGGUAGAAGAAGCACCGGCUAACUACGUG